AGAAUUGGCGCCUCAUGGAGUUAGAGUCAAUGCAGUGAACGGUGGUAUUUUUCCGACUAAGAUCUUCAAAAGAAGUGGGAUGACAGAUGAAGGGGUAUCAGAGUUUUAUGAAUACUGCAAGACGGUUCAUGCAAUGGGAAGGAUCGGAAAGCUUGAGGAGUCUUCUCGACUGAUCGCGUUCCUUGCGUCCAGUGAUUCGUCUUUUACCACCGGAGAAACAGUCGGUACUGAUGGAGGGCUUCAUCUGUUAGUCAAUGCGGCCCCGGUCAAUUCUAUUGAUGAUUGAUCCUUUUGAGUCAUUUUAAAAGAGGGAAAGGUCAAACAAGCUGAAAUUUUCAUCAAACUCAGACGUAAUAAAAUAAGGUUAUGGCAUUUUGAAGUUCGCUUAAUUUAGAUCAAGAUAUUGAGGGAGAGUGAAAAUACUUCUUUUAUUUCUUUCAAUAAUAUAUACAUGUAAAAACAUACAAAUAUCAUACAUUAUUUUGAACAUAAAAUCAUGAAACAUUCAGAUGAGAUUUUAAAAAAAAUAAUGAAAGAAAAAGGUAUCCCAAAAAGCCUCAAAGGCUUGACAGUGUAUAUCCAAUGUUGGUUUUAACAUUUAACAAAAUUUUAAUGAAACAUAUUUCCUCAUGUGACUGACGUGGAAUAAAACAAUAGUUUUCUUCGCAAUAAAGCAUAUACACCCAUA